AUAAGAUGGCUUUAUCUUAGCAGAUUGUUCUCGCUUUGUUUCGCUUGAAUAAUUGCCUCCAUUUUCAUGUCUUUCCUGCUGCAGAAGCUGAGUUCGUGGCUCAAAUACACUCACAUCUUUGUGACACAGCAAAUAAGAAGAAACAGCACUAUGGUGAGUUCAACCUGACAUCCCUCUGGAAAAAAAAAAAACUCACAAAGAUCUUCCAUUUUUGUGUCAAAACUUUAAAAGCUUGUCACCUUGCCUUUUUUUUAAAAAACUGAUUCAGUGUGUGUUGUAACAAAGGUACGUAGACCAGAGAAGAAAAACAGCUCCUUUCACUCCCAUCACAUGCUAUCCUCCUUGUUUAAAAAAAAAACACCAUAAAAGAUAACCAGAAAAUACCCAAAUGACCCUACAAUGUUACACUCUGAAAAAAAAUACAGUCCCACUGGUAUGGCUUUGUUCUCCUAUCCCAACCUGCUUUUUCUAUAUUGGAUAUCUGUCUGUUCUUUUGUUUCAUGUGCGUCUUUUUGCUGUAUCUCACAGAGAGCUGCUCAGAGGAGGCGGCGCACACUGCAGUCAGAACACUAAUAGACCUGGGGGUCCUCUUGGAGGAGUGGCAGAAGGGAGGCGUCUUCCUGGCUGUUAGUCCUUUGUUCCAGUUGUCAGAAAACAGGCAGAAACUGCACCGCUUCAUCUCUCAGUACCUCUACAAUUAAUACAUUUAACUGAGCAGCAUGACUCAAGGCUUCAACGCGGCUUUGUUUUCUUGCAGAGUCUGACCUCAUCCUCUGUUUGUAUCAAGGGAGCCCGUGUUCAGUUAAAACAGAUGCAUGCUGAGCCAGGACGCUGGUGUCUUUAGGUUAAUUGCAUUUUGAUUUUUCAGUGAUGAGACAUUGAUUUUAAGUUUAUCUUUAGUAAUAGCAUUUGCAUAAAGCCGCAGGAGAGGAGGAUUAUUAAGUCCCUGUAAUCAGUUGUGAGGACUCGCUGUAGGAUGACGCUCGUUGGUACAGUUUGCGCAUCCACGCAUGUUUAUGUUGUAACGAAGGAUGCAUCAAGUUUUGUCUGUUCCG
ensembl:lncRNA